GAUGAACGCUGGCGGCGUGCCUAAUACAUGCAAGUCGAGCGAACAGACGAGGAGCUUGCUCCUCUUACGUUAGCGGCGGACGGGGGAGUAACACGUGGAUAACCUACCUAUAAGACUGGGAUAACUUCGUGAAACCGGAGCUAAUACCGGAUAAUAUAUUAAACCGCAUUGUUCAAUAGUGAAAGACGGUUUUGCCGUCACUUAUAGAUGGAUCCGCGCCGCAUUAGCUAGUUGGUAAGGUAACGGCUUACCAAGGCAACGAUGCGUAGCCGACUUGAGAGGGUGAUCGGCCACACUGGAACUGAGACACGGCCCAGACUCCUACGGGAGGCAGCAGUAGGGAAUCUUCCGCAAUGGGCGAAAGCCUGACGGAGCAACGCCGCGUGAGUGAUGAAGGUCUUCGGAUCGUAAAACUCUGUUAUUAGGGAAGAACAAAUGUGUAAGUAACUAUGCACGUCUUGACGGUACCUAAUCAGAAAGCCACGGCUAAAUACGUG
rnacentral:rRNA from 1 species